AUUGAACGCUGGCGGCAGGCCUAACACAUGCAAGUCGAACGAGCGGCGGACGGGUGAGUAAUGUAUGGGAAUCUGCCUGAUAGAGGGGGAUAACUACUGGAAACGGUAGCUAAUACCGCAUACCAUCGGAUGUACCCAUAUGGGAUUAGCUAGUCGGUGGGGUAAAGGCUCACCUAGGCGACGAUCCCUAGCUGGUCUGAGAGGAUGACCAGCCAAACUGGGAGUGAGACACGGCCCAGACUCCUACGGUAGGCAGCAGUGGGGAAUAUUGCACAAGGGGCGCAAGCCGGAUGCAGCCAUGCCGGGUGUAUGAAGAAGGCCUUAGGGUUGUAAAGGACUUUCAGCGGGGAGGCGUUACCCGCAGAAGAAGCACCGGCUAACUCCGUGCCAGCAGCCGCGGUAAUAC
rnacentral:rRNA from 1 species